rnacentral:lncRNA from 1 species
UUUAAGGUCUCUGGGCCUCGCUUCCUGUAGGAAGAAUCGGAUUCUUAUUUGAUGGGGAUGGUGGCCAGGUCACUCUCUACCCCAGCCCAGCCCAGCCCUCUGCCGCUUGUACAUACGCCAUGGGGACCCUGAGGAACUGAGGCCACGUCAAUCCCUGUGCCGCCCCAUUCGCCCGUUACAUCUUCCAAACUGGGACGGUCAAGGCUGAAGGCUCCUCUGGGUUUGAGGGUCCAAGGGACAAGGAGGAGAAGCCUAGCAGGAUUUCAGAUGCGGGAGAGAGACCCAGGAAGCCCAGCAGAGCCCUGAGCCCCACUGCAAUUCCUCCUAGGGCUGCACAAUCAUGUGGCCUUGGGGCACACUGUCCUGCAUCCAGUCUGUGUCCUCCUGUCUUUCGCAUCCAGGUCAGGCAUUGACACUUUGUAAGAAAGCGGGCAGGGGACACAGCUGGGCAGGUGGAGUGGGUGGGCAGGAUGGCUGUCCCAGUCUGCCCAUCUUCUCUUGGCUCUGGGACCAGCGGCUUGUUCUAGGGAUUUGGACCUGGAGGCCAAGGGCAAUAGGAGAGGGUCUGAAGCCUGUGCUGUCUGCUGCUUGCUGUGAAUGGCCCUCCCGGGUCAUGACAGAGCUCUUUUGGGGCAGGAGGUGAGGGCAGGGGGCCCCGCUCCUUGGUAAGGGCCUGCCCUGGGGCUCCCAGGGAAGUGGGAGCUGGGGAGCCAAUCCACCCAGACCCGCGUCCACCUGGGAGGCAUUUGGGGUUGCAGGACCGAGACCCACAUCCUCUCACUCACUUCUCCACCCGCCAGGCAGCUGCCAGAGGCCUGAGGCUGAGUGAGGUGUGAUUGGGCCCUCCGGCUGGAUGUUCUGGGGGAGGAGGCAAUCGCUCUAGCUGCCAGGCCAGCCCCAUCUGGAAGGAGUCCCUGCUCUGCCUCAGCCCUAACCUGAGGCUGUGUGGGAGUCCCUUCUGCAUCUCUUAUUUCCUAAACCCUUCCCGUCAGCUGCUGUUUGCUGGCUCGUCCCCAGCCAGGCCUCCUGAGGUCUUCAUAGUUGGCACAGUCCA